AUUGAACGCUGGCGGCAGGCCUAACACAUGCAAGUCGAACGAGUGGCGGACGGGUGAGUAAUGUCUGGGCAACUGCCCGAUGGAGGGGGAUAGCUACUGGAAACGGUAGCUAAUACCGCAUACCAUCGGAUGUGCCCAGCUGGGAGUAGCUAGUAGGUGGGGUAAAGGCUCACCUAGGCGACGAUCCCUAGCUGGUCUGAGAGGAUGCCCAGCCACAGUGGAACUGAGACACGGUCCAGACUCCUACGGGAGGCAGCAGUGGGGAAUAUUGCACAAGGGGCGAAAGCUGGAUGCAGCCAUGCCGCGUGUAUGAAGAAGGCCUUCGGGUUGUAAAGUACUGUCAGCGCGGAGGCGUUACUCGCAGAAGAAGCACCGGCUAACUCCGUGCCAGCAGCCGCGGUAAUAC
rnacentral:rRNA from 1 species